AAGACUAUAUCUUCAGGGGUCAUUUCUACAGUAUGUUAUUAGAGAAGUUCCUGUGAUCGUGUGGGGCACCCAGAACCACGAGGAGGAGGCGCAGCAUUCUCUUCUGAGCGUGAAGCCGGCUCUGCGUGUUGCUUUUGCAACUGCCUCUUGCCAUUGAUGAUCGUUCUUCUCUUCCUUUGGGAGAGAAGAGGGAGCAGGAGGUGGGGG
rfam:Erinaceus europaeus unplaced genomic scaffold scaffold00176, whole genome shotgun sequence